rnacentral:rRNA from 1 species
CGGAGGGAAACCGAGUCUUAAUUGGGCGUUAAGUUGCAGGGUAUAGACCCGAAACCCGGUGAUCUAGCCAUGGGCAGGUUGAAGGUUGGGUAACACUAACUGGAGGACCGAACCGACUAAUGUUGAAAAAUUAGCGGAUGACCUGUGGCUGGGGGUGAAAGGCCAAUCAAACCGGGAGAUAGCUGGUUCUCCCCGAAAGCUAUUUAGGUAGCGCCUCGUGAAUUCAUCUCCGGGGGUAGAGCACUGUUUCGGCUAGGGGGCCAUCCCGGCUUACCAACCCGAUGCAAACUGCGAAUACCGGAGAAUGUUAUCACGGGAGACACACGGCGGGUGCUAACGUCCGUCGUGAAGAGGGAAACAACCCAGACCGCCAGCUAAGGUCCCAAAGUCAUGGUUAAGUGGGAAACGAUGUGGGAAGGCCCAGACAGCCAGGAUGUUGGCUUAGAAGCAGCCAUCAUUUAAAGAAAGCGUAAUAGCUCACUGGUCGAGUCGGCCUGCGCGGAAGAUGUAACGGGGCUAAACCAUGCACCGAAGCUGCGGCAGCGAACGUAUCACCCAAGACAACUUUACGGAGUUGACGAUUGACGGAGCGAAGCGACGUCAAAGCGUUCAUUAAAGUCGAGUUGGCUUAGGGAUACGUUCGUUGGGUAGGGGAGCGUUCUGUAAGCCUGUGAAGGUGUGUCGUGAGGCAUGCUGGAGGUAU